rnacentral:rRNA from 1 species
UACGUAGGGUGCGAGCGUUAAUCGGAAUUACUGGGCGUAAAGAGUGCGUAGGCGGUUCGUUAUGUCUGCUGUGAAAGCCCCGGGCUUAACCCGGGAAUGGCAGUGGAAACUGGCGGGCUUGAGUGUGGCAGAGGGGGGUGGAAUUCCGCGUGUAGCAGUGAAAUGCGUAGAGAUGCGGAGGAACACCGAUGGCGAAGGCAGCCCCGUGGGCUAACACUGACGCUGAGGCACGAAAGCGUGGGGAGAAAACAGG